rnacentral:rRNA from 1 species
UUGCGUCCUCUGACGUUAGACGGCGGAACUGGGCCGAGGUAACACUGGGCGAACCUGCCCUCGUAGUUGGGGAGUAACUCCGGGUAAACCGGGGCCGUAAUACCGAAUGAUUAAUUCUUCUCAUGAAGGAUUCUGAAAGACGGCUUCGGCUGUCGCUACGGGAUGGGCCCGCGGCGCAUUAGCUAGUUGGUAAGGUAACGGCUUACCAAGGCGACGAUGCGUAGCCGACCUGAGAGGGUGAUCGGCCACACUGGGACUGAGACACGGCCCAGACUCCUACGGGAGGCAGCAGUAGGGAAUCAUCCACGAAUGGACGAAAGUCUGAUGGUGCAAUGCCGCGUGAGCGAAGAAGGUUUUCGGAUCGUAAAGCUCUGUUAUGAGGGAAGAACAAGUACAAGAGUAACUGCUUGUACCUUGACGGUACCUCAUUAGAAAGCCACGGCUAACUACGUG